rnacentral:ncRNA from 1 species
UAAGGUUUUUUAGGUUAAAUUUUACUUUGUUUAUUUAUGUUAAUUUUGAUUUUAAAGAGUUUUGGGGGCAGUUAUUAAUAUUAUAUAUUUAAUAAUUUAAGAUAUAGCAAUAGGUGUAAGUACUGACAAAAUUUGUGCCAGCAGUCGCGGUUAUACAAAUAGUGCUAUUUAACUUUUAUCGGUAAUAGUUAAUUUUUAUAAAAUUUUAAUUGAUUUGAAUUAUAUGGUGAAAUUUUAAUUUAAUAUAAAUAAUUUUUAAUAGAAUGAGGCUAUAACACUUUUGACAUUAAACUAGGAUUAGACACCCUAUUAUAACGAAGCGUUAGGAGAUUUGCUGAAUUAGUAAGAGAUAAGGUCUCAAAAAUUAAAUAUUUUGGCGGUAUUUUAAAACCCUUCAGAGGAACCUGUCCUGUAAUCGAUAGUCCACGAUUAUAAAUACUUGAUUAUGCGCUUGUAUAUCGUCGUUUUUGAAAAUUUUAAGAAAAAUAAUUUUCAAAAUUUUAUAUCUAAGAAUAAAUCAGAUCAAGGUGCAGCAUUAUUGAGAAGAGAUGGGUUACAUUAUAUUUAUGUUUGGAUUUAUAAUUUAAAAUUUUAAUGAGUUUGGAUUUGAUGGUAAUUUUUUUAUAUAGAAAAAAUGAUAUGGGCUCUAGAAUAUGUACAUAUCGCCCGUCGCUUUCGUAUAUUUAUGAAAUAAGUCGUAACAUAGUAGGCCUACUGGAAGGUGGGCCUGGAAUGAU